rnacentral:rRNA from 1 species
UACGAAGGGGGCUAGCGCUGCUCGGAAUCACUGGGCGUAAAGGGUGCGUAGGCGGGUCUUUAAGUCAGGGGUGAAAUCCUGGAGCUCAACUCCAGAACUGCCUUUGAUACUGAGGAGCUUGAGUCCGGAGAGGUGAGUGGAACUGCGAGUGUAGAGGUGAAAUUCGUAGAUAUUCGCAAGAACACCAGUGGCGAAGGCGGCUCACUGGCCCGGUACUGACGCUGAGGUGCGAAAGCGUGGGGAGCAAACAGGG